GAUUUUCGUAACGUGUAACGGAUUCCUGAUAUCUUUUCUGAUGAUUUUGUCUUUGUUCAACGGUAACUCUGAUUUUGCGAAUUGGAUUUGUCUGCCAAUCGGGAAUCUUUUGUUAUUUCUUAUGAUAAAGGUGUCUACUUAAAUAAAUUAAAAAUAUUUACAAAUCAGCUAGAAUGGGAACACGAGUUUAACUAUCUAUGUUUUGCAGGUUCUUUGGUUUGGUGAAAAUGGCUUGUGUGAAAUACAAUAAACCUAUACACAGUGAUGAAGUUCACUAUUUUGCAGCAGAUUUGGGUCCUUUUGUUUAUUAUUGAACAAGACAUGGGUCGAGAGAUUGCUUCUGAUGGUGCAUUAUGCAAGACAUGUUUUAAUUCCUUUACUAAUCCUUAGAGUACUAAUAGUGGUACUGAAGUAAUGCUGGAUGAUGUAAAACCCAUAAGUGAAACAUGUGAAUCAAAUACAUGUGUAUGGUGCCUUCUAUCACUCACAACAAAGAGGACACAUUGUUUACCAAGGGGCCACUGAGAGAUGCAAUAUCCAAUGUAAUUGCCCCAAGAGAGAUACCAGAUGGUAGCAUUGUUUGUCAUCGAUGUUAGGUGCCUGCCUGCAGACUGGUAAAUGUAUCAGGACCAAAUUCUGGCCAAUCGCAACACACGUGUGUAUGGUGUAGACAUUCUCUCUCUCGGAGAUGAUCUCACACAAUUCCUCAAGGUCCUGAAAGAGAUGAAAUCACAGCAAGGAUAGCUCCACGACAGAUACUGCCUGGAGACAGAGUGUGUUAUGCAUGUUGGGUAUCUGCUAGAAGAAACGUACUACAGACAACUAAUCUUCACCGAAAUAGGAAUGUUUGUGUUGUAUGUUCUACUUCAACAGUAAGACGUCGCACACGUUUAUUAAUGAAUAGUCCAGAAAAAGACGUAAUUUCCAGAAGAAUAUACCCUAGACCGGUCUGUGAAAUAUUUAACUGUACAUCUUUGAAAUAGGUAUCUAUCUGUGAAUGUAUGAGUUUAUUCUGUUGUUUUUACAGGUCAGUGGUCAUUAAUUAGUAGGUAUGUAAUGAAUGUUAGAUUUGGGCUCAAAAUGCUGUUCAACUGGAAACUGAACAGCUUGUCGCUGACCUUGAACCCAAGAGAGAAGAAUCUUCACAGGAUUUGGAUAUGCCUCGUCACAUACAAUUAAUUUUUUUUAUUUUUUUAUUUAAAAAACG